CCAAUAGCGUAUAUUAAAGUUGUUGCAGUUAAAAAGCUCGUAGUUGAAUUUCGGGAUUAGUACGCUGGUCGUGCCUUCGGUAUGUACUGGUGUUACUGGUUCCUACCUUCUGACGAACCGUCAUGUCAUUAAUUUGGUGUGGCGGGAAAUCAGGACUGUUACUUUGAAAAAAUUAGAGUGUUUAAAGCAGGCUCGCGCUUGAAUACAUUAGCAUGGAAUAAUGAAAUAGGACGUUCGAUCCUAUUUUGUUGGUUUCUAGGAUUGACGUAAUGAUUAAUAGGGAUAGUUGGGGGCAUUAGUAUUCAAUUGUCAGAGGUGAAAUUCUUGGAUUUAUUGAAGACUAACUACUGCGAAAGCAUUUGCCAAGGAUGUUUUCAUUAAUCAAGAACGAAAGUUAGGGGAUCGAAGACGAUCAGAUACCGUCGUAGUCUUAACCAUAAACUAUGCCGACUAGGGAUCGGAUGAUGUUAUUUUUAAUGACUCAUUCGGCGCCUUACA
rnacentral:misc_RNA from 1 species